GUAUUCUCCUAAUUUCCUUUUUUCUUUUUGAAGUUUUAGUUUUUCUAUCCGUGGCUCGACGUUUUCUCAUUUCGUUUCAUUGUUUACGACGGUGAGGCAAUGUCUGCCUGCGGAAAAAAGAACAAGGGAACGGAAAAGAAAAGAAAUCUGGGCUGUGUAUGAUCAGUUAGACGAUCCUAUAAAACAAAAUCAAAUGGAAACAAUUUUGGAACUGCUUUCAUUCCCAAAACAAGAUGACCAUUAUUUUGGAUAAAAUAAGGCUUUUUGCUGUUUUGUUGCUACCUUAAAUACAUAUAAAAGAAUCUUUUUAUCGACAUUGCUCGUAACCCUCUACUGUUUGCUGGCGAAACUUACGAGGAAGGAGAGAGCUGGAACCGCGUGAGAUUUCCUAAAUCCAUUUUUUAUUGGAGACUUGAAAUUCAUAGUCUGUCUUGGAUUAUAUGUAAAUGAAACCAUAAGAAUGUAAGGUUUCUAUUUUCCAUUUACUUCAUUAUUCUAAUUCAUGAGUGGAUUACUCGUGUUGUUGAUUUAUUAAUUUUGGUUACCUCUGAGUUAAAUUUUCAAAAGAUAAUAAUUAAAAAAAAAAAUGGUUUCUUUGACUUUGCAUGCCCUCUCCUUUCGAAGAUCUGCAAAAUGUUGCAAAAAGACUGAAUCAAAUGUUACUUCAUGGUUCAGUUUGAUUAACAUUAUCAGCUGUGGCAAUUUUUUAAUAAUAUGAAAAGUCAGAUAUGAAUGCACGGUUUCUUAUUCACUUGGUUGCGUUAAUUUUUCUAAACCCCUACAUAUCAAUAGCCUCUUUCUGAUAUCCAUCCUUUCCUUUUCCAAUUAUAUUUUCCAGGUAAGAGUUCUCAAAUCCCACAG
rnacentral:misc_RNA from 1 species